ACUCAAAGGAAUUGACGGGGGCCCGCACAAGCGGAGGAGCAUGUGGUUUAAUUCGAUGAUACGCGAGGAACCUUACCCGGGCUUGAAUUGCAGUGGAAGGAUGUGGAAACAUGUCCGUCUUCGGACCACUGUGAAGGUGCUGCAUGGUUGUCGUCAGCUCGUGCCGUGAGGUGUUAGGUUAAGUCCUGCAACGAGCGCAACCCUUACACUUAGUUGCCAGCAUGUAAUGAUGGGGACUCUAAGUGAACUGCCUACGCAAGUAGAGAGGAAGGUGGGGAUGACGUCAAAUCAGCACGGCCCUUAUGUUCGGGGCUACACACGUGCUACAAUGGUCGGUACAGAGGGCAGCUACCACGCGAGUGGAUGCUAAUCUCCAAAGCCGAUCUCAGUUCGGAUCGGAGUCUGUAACUCGACUCCGUGAAGUUGGAUUCGCUAGUAAUCGCACAUCAGCCAUGGUGCGGUGAAUACGUUCCCGGGCCUUGUACACACCGCCCGU
rnacentral:rRNA from 1 species